CUUNGGCACNAACUCGCGAGACUAGCAAAUCCCAUAAACCGUGGCUCAGUUCAGAUCGUAGGCUGCAACUCGCCUACGUGAAGUAGGAAUCGCUAGUAAUCGCAGGUCAGCAUACUGCGGUGAAUACGUUCCCGGGCCUUGUACACACCGCCCGUCACACCAUGGAAGUUGGCCAUGCCCGAAGUCGUUACUCCAACCCUUGUGGAGGAGGACGCCGAAGGUGGGGCUAAUGACUGGGGUGAAGUCGUAACAAGGUAGCCGUACCGGAAGGUGCGGCUGGAUCACCUCCUAACAGGGAGACAACAAAAUGUAAAUAUUAAUUUUGUCACCUUAGGUCGAUCGGUAUCUCAGAUUCUUAUUUUUUUUAAGAAUUUCACGUUUCUAAGUUUUUUCUAGGUCACACCCAUCACUUUUUCCUGGGCCAUUAGCUCAGGUGGUUAGAGCGCACCCCUGAUAAGGGUGAGGUCCCUGGUUCAAGUCCAGGAUGGCCCAUAUCUCUAUGUUGGGGGUAUAGCUCAGUUGGUAGAGCGCCUGCUUUGCAAGCAGGAUGUCAGCGGUUCGAGUCCGCUUACCUCCACUGAAUACCACCUCUUACAUAUAUUUAAAGAGGGAAAUUGUUUUGAACCGUGUCCUAAUUUGCUCUGAGCGAAUCUAGCUUCCUAUUUUAUUUAAUAAAUAAGAUGCUGGACUCAUUGAAUUUUUUUCAUUGUUUUUCAGAGAACCUUGACAACUGCAUAGAUUAUUUUUGAAGACAAUAAGCAUCUUUAAUGAUGCAGAUUUAUUAUUUGUGCGAAUGCAUUAAAUAACAAUUCUAUUAAGCUGAUGCUUCAAUUAUUGAAGUUAUUGGUCAAGCUACAAAGGGCUCACGGAGGAUACCUAGGCACACAGAGGCGAUGAAGGACGUGGUUACCUGCGAUAAGUCUCGGGGAGUUGGAAGCACACUUUGAUCCGGGAAUUUCCGAAUGGGGCAACCCCUUGAACGACCAACUGAAUAUAUAGGUUGGUGCGAGCUAACCCACGAACUAAACAUCUUA
rnacentral:misc_RNA from 1 species